ACCCUUAUCCGUGGGUAUUUUUCCUAUCCCUAGCGUUAGCCUGCUAGGUACUAGCGUUGAUUGCCUUGUCGCGUGAAAAGAAGUGUCGGGCGUUGUUGGGCCAAAAUUGGCCUUUUUUGUGGCUCGUCCACGCACAAUAGUUGGCUAAAAGAAAUAGGUUUGGCCGGUUUUCUUAGCUAAUUUUUCCCAACUUUUAGGUUCUAUCCUAGAAUUUAUUUUAGACCCAAUAGUUAGAGAUGAUGUGGGUUGGUUUAAAACCUAGAUUUUAGGUUCUAACCCAACAAUUGGAGUUUGUCUUAUAUGAGCAAAACAUAAGGCUAGUCAAAUGAAUGACUAAAAUUUGAAUUUUGGAUAAUAUUUGACUCAUAAAGCUCGUAGAUACCUUAUGUACCAAACCCUUUG
rnacentral:lncRNA from 1 species